CUUGUGUGGCUUAUUACAAAUGGAUGAAACCACAUUUUACCUUAAUGAAGACAGUAAUCUUUAAUAAGGUGUAGAAAAAAACAGGUGAGUUGUUUGUUGCUGUGGUACACAAAGAAGUGUACUGAGUCUUUUGGACUACACAGAGUGAUGUAGUAUUGACUGUGAUGCUGAUCUGAGUUGUCUCAUUCUGUAUUUUUGUGCUUUGUCUUUUGUUACACAGAGUGAAAGAGAUCUUUGGUUUUGCCUUUGCUGACUGCUGAUCUGAUCGUCUCAAGUCUGUGUAAGUGUUCAGUUACAGUUGUCAUCUAGAGGCUGCCCUGAGAACCCAGACUUCCUGUUUCCUGACUGCUGCAGAACAUCCAGCUGAAGAAUCCCCAUCACUUGUCAUCAGAUCACCACACCAUCACAGCUCCUUAUAUUUGCUUUAAAUUUUAAAUAUCUGAAAGAUUUACACAAAGUCUACUUAAAAGCUAAGAGUUUUAUUAUAGCCUGUUGAUUGUUGAGAUUUAUUCUGCAUAUUACUUUACAGGAGUAUAGACGAAUUUGUUAUCCCGUCUGGUUAAAAAAAAAAGAAGAAGUAAUAAUAUACAGUUUUUGAAAAAGCUACAAUAAAACAGACCAAAGUGUUUUCAAAGAACUUUAAAUAACUUUUAUAUUGAGUUUGUAUUUAAGUCAGCCUUUUACAUCAAUUCUGAAAAAUCUCUGAUUUAAUAGUCAUUAAAGUCAUUAGUUUUUCAGUGUUUACAGGUUGAGUUUUGUUUACAUAUAAGGUCUAGUUUUACUUCAACAAAAUGCCAAGAAAAGGUCAAAGGUCGCAGUCCCAGAAGCUUAGAUGGCAAAAGCAGAAAGAACAAGUAACUGUUUCUCAGAGCGGUGAGCAGGUAAAAGUGUCUGUUGCAAAUAUUCCCUGUCCAGAAGCGCAGAGCAGUGCUCAGACAGCAGCAGUGUCUUAUGCAGAUGUGGUAAAGAGAGGUGUUCGCUCAGCAUGUGUGCCAGAUGCUAAAGUACAGCAGGUAAUUCAGACUGAACCCCAGGUAACA